GAGAGAGGGAGAGUGUGUGUGAGAGAGGGAGAGUGUGUGUGUGAGAGAGAGAGAGUUUGUGUGAGCGAGAGAAAGAGUGUGUGAGAGGGAGGGAGAGUGUGUGUGUGAGAGAGAGGUUCCGAAGUUACAAAUUGAGCAGCAGCUGCUGAAAAACAAGCAACAAACGAAGAAGAUGGGCUUUUGAAAAAGUAACUAUUUUUCAUAAAAUUAUACAGUUAUCUUAGCUAGCUGAAUUGUUUACCAGUUACUAGGCAGUUGCUAGGGACUCUCCUGGAAGAAGCUAGCUAGCUAACAAAGAAUAUCUAGUUAACAGAAGAAAAGAAAGACAAAAUAAGACAAAAUAAGGACAGAAGACAAAGGACAUCAAAGUAAAACAGUCCUCUAUAGACACAAGAGACAAUAAUACAAGAAACAAUGCUGUUUUGGAAAAGGUAGGCUUCUAUUGCAACUUUGUAGCCAACAUCACCAGCGUUGCUAUGGAAAUUGUUUACCCACCAGACAUCCAAACAGAGAAAGCUAAGAAAAGUUUCAAAGGUUUGAUGAUGGCUCAGAACCAUAAAUGCCUGUUUGCAGAUAUUACCAGUUGCAAAACAAGAGCAAAUUUUAUAUUUAAUACCAAAUGAGGGCACAUAUGGAAAAGGGUUAUUUGCAACCAUUUCCCUUUCUCAAAAAAGAGAGGCAUCAGCCAAGGAUGUCAUAUCAGCAUUUUUGAAGAAGCUGACCAGAGCAACAUGUAUCAAACAGUAAACUUCUACAAUAAUGGAACUGUAUUGAUACAAGGCAAUGAUUCAAGCCCCCAGGCUUUUGAGAAUAGGUUUGCUACCCUAAAAGCAGAAGCUGAACUCAUCUCAGAAACUGAGGAAAAAGAAAAGGAGGGCGAUGGAGAAAAGCAGGCCCCAACGGUCUCUGUGACCCAGCAAGAAGCCCUUACUGUCCCUCUACCUACCUCACCUGCAGCAGACAGAGCCAAGGACAUGCCUACAACACCAAGAACACCUGCUAUGCAACGUUUCCACAACACCCUCUCUGUAGUCGAAGCAGAGGUCAUAGAACUCAGAGAGAACAAGCUUCAAGAGAAUGACACUGUCCAGAAACUAAAAGAGAUGAAACAGUUCAGGAAGGAAAGCAGAGCAUCUAUUGCUAAAUUAGAAAGCAGAAUGGACAAACUGAGUCAGACAACUGAUGACCUCAGAGACCAUCUGAGCACAACAAGAGAGGAGCUAGAACAAAGAGAGAGGUACAUUGACCCCCUCAACCACCAGCUAGUCAUUAUGUCCUCUGCAUCUAGAGAACAUGUCCACCAGCUUGGUACAACACAAGAAGAACCUGAGACCAGCAUGGCCUCCACCACACAGCCUGAUGACACUGCACCAGCGUCCCAGUCUGCUCCAGCCCAGAUCAGCCUCCCAGUCUGCUCCAGCCCAUGUCAGCCUCCCAGUCUGCUCCAGCCUAUGUCAGCCACCCAGUCUGCUCCAGCCCAGAUCAGCCUCCCAGUCUGCUCCAGCCCAGGUAAGCCAACCAGCGUCCCAGUCUGCUCCUGCCCAUGUCAGCCUACCUGCUUCCCAGUCUGCUCCAGCACAGUGUGCUCCAGCCCAGAUCAGCCUCCCAGUCUGCUCCAGCCCAGAUCAGCCUCCCAGUCUGCUCCAGCCCAGUGUGCUCCAGCCCAGAUCAGCCUUCCAGUCUGCUCCAGCCCAGAUCAGCCUCCCAGUCUGCUCCAGCACAGAUCAGCCUCCCAGUCUGCUCCAGCCCAUGUCAGCCUCCCAGUCUGCUCCAGCCUAUGUCAGCCACCCAGUCUGCUCCAGCCUAUGUCAGCCACCCAGUCUGCUCCAACCCAGAUCAGCCUCCCAGUCUGCUCCAGCCCAGGUAAGCCAACCAGCGUCCCAGUCUGCUCGUGCCCAUGUCAGCCUACCUGCUUUCCAGUCUGCUCCAGCACAGUGUGCUCCAGCCCAGAUUAGCCUCCCAGUCUGCUCCAGCCCAGAUCAGCCUUCCAGUCUGCUCCAGCCCAGUGUGCUCCAGCCCAGAUCAGCCUCCCAGUCUGCUCCAGCCCAGAUCAGCCUCCCAGUCUGCUCCAGCACAGUGUGCUCCAGCCCUGGUCAACCUACCAGCUACCCAGUCUGCUCCAGCCCAUGUCAACCUACCAGCUACCCAGUCUGCUCCAGCCCAUGUCAACCUACCAGCUACCCAGUCUGCUCCAGCCCAUGUCAACCACCAGCUACCCAGUCUGCUCCAGCCCAGAUCAGCCUCCCAGUCUGCUCCAGCCCAGAUCAGCCUCCCAGUCUGCUCCAGCACAGUGUGAUCCAGCCCAGGUCAAUCUACCAGCCUCCCAGUCUGCUCCAGCCCAGGUCAACCUACCAGCUACCCAGUCUGCUCCAGACCAGGUCAACCUACCAGCCUCCCAGUCUGCUCCAGCCCAGGUCAGCCUACCAGCCUCCCAGUCUGCUCCAGCCCAGGUCAACCUACCAGCUACCCAGUCUGCUCCAGCCCAGGUCAGCCUACCAGCCUCCCAGUCUGCUCCAGCCCAGGUCAACCUACCAGCCUCCCAGUCUGCUUCAGCACAGUGUGCUCCAGCCCAGGUCAACCUACCAGCUACCCAGUCUGCUCCAGCCCAGGUCAACCUACCAGCUACCCAGUCUGCUCCAGCCCAUGUCAACCUACCAGCUACCCAGUCUGCUCCAGCCCAUGUCAACCACCAGCUACCCAGUCUGCUCCAGCCCAGAUCAGCCUCCCAGUCUGCUCCAGCCCAGAUCAGCCUCCCAGUCUGCUCCAGCACUGUGUGCUCCAGCCCUGGUCAACCUACCAGCCUCCCAGUCUGCUCCAGCCCAGGUCAACCUACCAGCCUCCCAGUCUGCUCCAGCCCAGGUCAGCCUACCAGCCUCCCAGUCUGCUCCAGCCCAGGUCAGCCUACCAGCCUCCCAGUCUGCUCCAGCACAGUCUUCUCCAGCCCAGGUCAAGCUACCAGCCUCCCAGUCUGCUCCAGCCCAGGUCAAGCCACCAGCCUCCCAGUCUUCUCCAGCACAGGUCAAGCCACCAGCCUCUCAGUCUGCUACAGCCCAGGCAAUCCUUAUUGAUUCAAAUGGAAGUUCUUAGUCCAGGAAAUAUUAUUCCCUAGACACCAGGUGUAUAAGUUCUGGUGUUCUACAACUGACAGUGCAAUGCAGCUACUCAGUCAGACCAGGGUUGACACCCCCGACAACAUCAUCAUAAACACUGGCACAAACGACCUUCAUGCCAAAGGUGUAUCUGGGGCAGUGAGAAGAGUGGCAGAACGAGCACAGGCUAUGUUCCCAACAACCGAUAUAGUUGUGUCCACUCUCCUACCAAGAAAAAACUUCCCAGGACAGUUGAUGGACAAUAUAAAUCAACAGAUCACUGUGGACUGUGCCUCACUGCUCAACGUCAGAACGGCUCACCACCCCACUCUGACAUGUCAACACUUAUACCAUAAUGUACAUCUGGAUCAGGACAGGAUCAGAACCUCUGCCAAGGACCUAAAGGAUGCAACAGUUGGCAGGGACCCACACACCCAUCACCCCAGCAGCAGAGGCCCCCCGCUCCACUUUCUGAAACGACAGUACCCCCACCAUCCCCAGGAGAGAAGAGCCAGACACGGCUUAUUACAGCACAGCUCUACUAGACCAGGCCCAUCACAACACAGCUCUACUGGACCAGACCCGUCCCAUCACAACACAGCUCUACUAGACCAGGCCCAACACAGCACAGAUUUACCAGACCAGACCUGCCUCAGGACAGCACAGCUCUACUAGACCCGGCCCAUCACAACACAGAUUUACCAGACACGUCCCAUCACAACACAGCUCUACUGGACCAGGCCCAUCACAACACAGCUCUACUGGACCAGGCCCAUCACAACACAGCUCUACUAGACCCGGCCCAUCACAACACAGCACUACUAGAUCCAGCCCAUCACAACACAGCUCUACUAGACCAGGCCCAUCACAGCACAGAUUUACCAGACCAGACCCGUCCCAUCACAAUACAGCUCUACUGGACCAGGCCCAUCACAACACAGCUCUACUGGACCAGGCCCAUCACAACACAGCUCUACUAGACCCGGCCCAUCACAACACAGCACUACUAGAUCCAGCCCAUCACAACACAGCUCUACUAGACCAGGCCCAUCACAACACAGCUCUACUAGACCAGGCCCAUCACAACACAGCUCUACUAGACCAGGCCCAUCACAACACAGCUCUACUAGACCAGGCCCAUCACAACACAGCUCUACUAGACCAGGCCCAUCACAACACAGCUCUACUAGACCAGGCCCAUCACAACACAGCUCUACUAGACCCGGCCCAUCACAACACAGCUCUGACCUCUACUCCGGGGUCGGGCAGAACACUGUCCUUCAGAGAAGUACACCACAUGAUGCAGUCCACACCAUGUAUCAUUCAGAUCAUCAGCCUCCAUAUGCUGAGGUAACCUCUGGCAAAAGACACCUAGAACAAUCAGAGAUAGGAGAGGUGCGCCAACUACUGCAACUAAUAUGCAGACUACUGGGCUAGACAGACCCUUUAAUUCUCUCUCUCUCUCUCUCUCACACACACACACACACACACACACACACACACACACACACACACACACACACACACACACACA
rnacentral:lncRNA from 1 species